rnacentral:rRNA from 1 species
UUGGGUUAAGUCCCGCAACGAGCGCAACCCUUGCCUUAGUUGCCAGCAGUUCGGCUGGGCACUCUAAAGGGACUGCCGGUGUUAAACCGGAGGAAGGUGGGGAUGACGUCAAGUCCUCAUGGCCUUUAUGACCAGGGCUACACACGUACUACAAUGGCCGAUACAAAGGGCAGCGACACUGCGAGGUGAAGCCAAUCCCGUAAAAUCGGUCUCAGUCCGGAUUGGAGUCUGCAACUCGACUCCAUGAAGUUGGAAUCGCUAGUAAUCGUGGAUCAGCAUGCCACGGUGAAUACGUUCCCGGGCCUU